AAAAAAAAAAAAGUGAGGCCAAGAUCCAAUGUUUAUGGAGACAAAACUCACAUAACGUGAAACUCACUGUCCAUUUUAAAGUGUGAAUUCAGUAGGUUUGAGUAUUUUCACAAUUUUGCAAGCUGCCACCACCCACGAAUUUUUAGGACUGCUUACGAGGCUCGGGUUUGCAUGUUUGCUCUUACAGUCGUUCCAGGCAAGGACCUCGGGUACCUGAAACACUGCCCCAGGCACAACUGACCAGCCCCCAGAACCCUUCCCUAGCAGAGGGUGUGGGGAGGUCUGGCCGCGGCGGGUCUCGGCUGCCCUCAGCCCAGGGGAGCCAUUUCAGGGAGGUCUGUGAGCUCUCUGAGACUUGGUUUUCUAUCAGUUAGGUACACUCAUCCAUUUGUUCAUUUGGCAGAUAUUCAUUUAGCCCCGGAUUUGUGCUGAGCCCUGUUCUAGAAGUAAGGGAUAUGAGACCGUGAGCUUCACAGUGGGGCUUCAGCUCCCAGCAUGAUGCACAGUAGGUACUUUCUGUGUCUGUGAGACAAACACAGUUGACAGAAGGAGCCAGGCAAGGGACACUCUGGAGACAGGGUGCCCCAGGCAUCCGUUCCAAAAGAGUCCUUCACCAGUGGCAAGGGGAAGACAGCGUGGCUUUGAGUGGCUUCUUACUAAGCAGCAGUGCAAGCUCUCCCAGCAGCCUCCCAAGUGGAAUCCUCCCUCCCCUCACUGUGCCCUUCCCCGUGGCUCAUCCAGUUCUCAGCCCAGAUUCUUGCACAUUUGGAAAUUCUGGUAAGGCCUUAUCACUGGUGCAUUUGGACCUGAUCAUUAAUAACAAAAUGUUGGUUAAAGCUGAGAAUAAAAAAUUGCUGUUUGCUACUUUAAACCAUUUUUAUUUAAAUACAUAAAAGAAUAUUAAUUCAUUUGCCAUUUGUAACAGAGGAUCUUUCAACUUUCAUUUCACCCAUUUUCUCUCCAGGGAGGUUGGAAAACUAAAAAGACCUAGAUUUCCCAGUCUCUUUUAUAGCUAGGGCUUGAUGGAAAUUAGGCUUCACCAAUUAAGCAGAGGACAGAGGGUUCAGGCAGGCGCGUGGGCUGGCAGUGAGUGGGCAUAGUUUCAUCAUGUGGAACAGGUCACAGGGGUCAGGAGCAGUCCCCUGACAGCGAGGGGAUCGCAGCCACCAUAGGGAUCUUCACACUUAGGACCCGACCUGUGUGAAACUCCUCGGGGCUGAGGGUAUGGCUGCAUGACAAGGCAUGUGCUUGGCAUGUGCCACAAGGUCCGGAGUUUAAUCCCUAGCACCAUAUUUUCUACUUAUAUUUUUUGGGGGGUUUGAAACCAGGGGCACUCCACCACUGAGCCACAUCCCAGCCCUAUUUUGUAUUUUAUUUAGAGAUAGAGUCUCACUGAAUUGCUAAUCACCUCUCUUUUGCUGAGACUGGCUUUGAACUCAAGAUCCUCCUGCCUCAGCCUCCUGAGCUGCUGGGACUACAGGCAUGGCCACCACACCCAACACCAUAUUUUUAAAAAUUCCUUUCUAUUUGAGAUACCUGGAGUGAUUUGUUUCCUCCCUUGAAGGCCACAUGACCCAACAGCCUUUUUUUAAAUAUGAAGCAAACCCUUUUAUUUCAAGCUGAAUCCCCCAAUCUGAAUGCCACAGCACUUGCACGCACAACCCACACACCGAGAUGUCAGGUGCUUUCUCAGUCUUGGGUCUGUAAAGUGGAGUGAGACUGAAGAGCUCCAGGGGAGAAGCCUGCAGCAUUGUGCUGUGCAUCCGUGAUCUAGGACUUUUAGCUGUGGGACUCGCCAGCACUUCCCAGGUACCUGCCUUAGCGCCCCACUGUUUUCAAGGAAACAGCAAGUGUUUUUGCUUUCCAAUUUCAUGGAUUUACAGGAAAGUGAAUGGAAUGACAUGAUUACAACACGCACACUAGCAUAAAUGGGAGAUCGACAUAAGUUUUUUUGUUUGUUUAUUUUUACAGUAGAAUGCAUUUGGACACACUGUACACAACUUCUCGUUCCUCUGGCUCCACUUGGUGCAGAGUCACUCCAGUGGUAUAAUCAUACAUGUACAUGGGGUAAUACUGUCUGUCUCAUUCUACCGUCCUCCCCUCUGCACAAACCAAAGUUCCUUCAUUCCUCCCUACCCCCUGCCCAUUGUGGAUCAGCAUCCACUUAUUAGAGAAACCAUUCAGCUUUUGGUUUUGGGGGACUGGCUUAUUUCGCUUAGCAUGAUAUUCUCUAGUUCCAUCCAUUUACCUGCAGGUGCCAUAAUUUUAUUCUUCUUUAAGGCUGAGUAAUAUUCCAUUGCGUAUGUACCACUUUUUCUUUAUCCAUUCAUUUGUUGAAGGCAUCAAUGUUGGUGCCAUAGUUUAACUAUUGUGAACUGAGCUGCUAUAAACAUUGAUGUGUUUGAGUUACUGUAGUUUGCUGAUUUUAAGUCCUUUGGGUAUAAAUCAAGGAGUGGAUAGAUGGGUCAAAUGGUGGUUCCUUUCCAAGUUUCUGAGGAAUCUCUAUACUGCUUUGCAUAGUGGCUGCACCAAUUUGCAGUCCCACCAGCAAUGUAUGAGUGCGCCUUUUUCCCCACAGCCCCAUCAACACUUAUUAUUGCUUGUAUUCUUGAUAAAUGCCAUUCUGACUGGAGUGAGAAGAAAUCUUAGAGUAGUUUUGAUUUGCAUUUCUCUAAUUACUAGAGAUGAUAACGAUUUUUUAAAUGAUUUUUUAGUUGUUGAUGGACCUUUAUUUUAUUUAUUUAUAUGCGGUGCUGAGAAUUGAACCCAGUGCCUCACACAUGCUAGGCAAGUGAGCUACUGCUGAGCCCCAGCCCUAGCCCCAAUAAACAUUUUUUCAUAUGUUUGUUGAGAAAUUGUAGUUUUUCUUCUGUGAAGUGUCUGUUUUGUUCAUCAGCCCAUUUAUUGAUUGGGUUAUCUGAGGGGGUUUUUUGGUGUUAAUUUUUUGAGUUCUUUAUAUAUCCUGGAGAUUAGUGGUCUAUCUGAGGUGCAUGUGGUAAAGACUUUUCUCCCUUCUAUAGGCUCUCUCUUUACAUUAUUGAUUGUUUCCUUUGCUGAGAGGAAGCUUUUUAGUUUGAAUUCAUCCCAUUUAUUGAUUCUUGAUUUUACCUCUUGCAUUUUAGGAGUCUUGCCAAGGAAGUCAGGUCCUAAGCUGACAUGAUGAAGAUUCUGGUGUAUUUUUUCUUCAAUUAGGUGCAGCGUCUCUGUUCUAGUGCCUACUCUGAUCUGCCUUGAGUUGAUUUUGACACAUGCAUUCUCGUUUCAACCAGCCUGGCCCUCAGAAUAAGAUGACCAGAGCAGAGCCACAGCUCACCUUUGAUGAAGAUCUAACGGGAACAUGGUUGCAGCCCCAAGACUAGAUUGCUGCUUGUCACAUCAAGCCUCCUCUACUGCAGUGAUGACCCUUGCGUUCCUUGAUGGCGUGUGUUGGAGUUUACUCACUUGGCUCUGUGACUACAGUGCAAAGAUCACGUCAGACACCUCCACCUGGUCAUGACAUUUAUUGCUGAUGCAAACACAUGGGACAGAUUGGUGACUGAGAAAGCCAUGAGUUACCAUUCAGAAAGUCCCAGGAAGCUGACCAGAGAGGGGCAUCCCUCAGCUGGUGAUGUAGGGAACGCUUGGUGGGGGGGCCGACUUGCCAGAGGCAUCCAGGGGAGGAGGCUAACAUUGCAGGUCCUCAAGUCAAGGACCAGACUGUGUUCAGCGUCUGCUGCGCCCCUCCCCUGAUUCAGGCAAAGGCAAGGCCCUACUGAGGUGGAUGGCACAUGGUGUCCAUCCUCUGGAGGAGCACAGCAUGUUUCAGGGAAUGGGAUGGUUUGUUUUUGCACUUCUGUUAAUAAGUGUAAUUGUAACUUCUCAUAUGACCAUUAAGUAUGAAGGAAAAAACAUGACUUGCCCAAUUAAUGCAACUACUGCUAAAGAAUAAAUCUGUUUGCUCUAAAUGCAAUGAUUCAGCUGUGGAAUGUAAAUUGUUAAUGUUUAAUGAGAAACCCCCUGUAGGAAAAACAGUCAAGGAAGUUUUUGAGAAAUUAAAUUAAAAUCUAGAGAAGAAGAAUUAAUGUUAAGAAGACAGAUUAGUGCUUGGCACUGGGCAACUUGUUCUUGUUCCUGUGCACAAUGGUUUGUGCUCUUACUCUUGUUUGAUUAAAAUUAAUAACAAGUCAACCACUUGCCGUAACCGCGGCGCCGGUUCUAGUCAGUAAGUCAAGAAAGAAUAGUCAAGGUAUAGGCCAAUAGUCUGGGACAUUUCCAACUAUUAUUAAAAGCUAACUAAGCAGAAACAGCUCAAAGCAAAAUGCGAACUGAAAGUAAAAAUGCUUGCUUAUGCAUAAGCCAAGAGACAUUCUUCUUAUCUAAUUGUAGCUACGUAAAAUUCUGUUUCUUUGAAUAAUGAUUCCUGUUUUGUAACCACAAAAUACUGUGAGCCUCCCAAAAUGAAACGUAUAUAUGAUUAACUUCACAAGUAAAGAAUCAGAUGCAACACCUUC